UACAGAGGGGGCUAGCGUUGUUCGGAUUCAUUGGGCGUAAAGGGUGCGUAGGUGGCGCCGUAAGUCGGGUGUGAAAUUUCGGAGCUUAACUCCGAAACUGCAUUCGAUACUGCGGUGCUUGAGGACUGGAGAGGAGACUGGAAUUCGAUGGUGUAGCAGUGAAAUGCGUAGAGAUCAUGAGGAAGACCAGUGGCGAAGGCGGGUCUCUGGACAGUUCCUGACACUGAGGCACGAAGGCCAGGGGAGCAAACGGG
rnacentral:rRNA from 1 species